CAACUACUCCCUCUGUCCCAAAUUUCUUGUCUUAGAUUUGUCNAUUUGUCUAGAUACGGAUGUAUCUAAUACUAAAAUGUGACUUGAUACAUCCGUAUCUAGACAAAUCUAAGACAAGAAUUUUGGGACGGAGGGAGUACUUU
rnacentral:pre_miRNA from 1 species